rnacentral:rRNA from 1 species
GAGGAAUAUUGGGCAAUGCCCGAAAGGGUGACCCAGCAACGCCGCGUGGAGGAUGAAGGUCGUAAGAUUGUAAACUCCUGUUAGAGGGGAAGAAUAACUAAGUUUGGAGCUUAGUAUGACUGUACCCUCAGAGAAAGCCCCGGCUAACUACGUGCCAGCAGCCGCGGUAAUACGUAGGGGGCAAGCGUUGUCCGGAUUUACUGGGUGUCAAGGGCGCGCAGGCGGAAUGGAAAGUCAGUGGUGAAAUCCUACAGCUUAACUGUAGAACUGCCUUUGAUACUUUCAUUCUUUAGUUCGGGAGAGAGAGACGGAAUUCCAGGUGUAGUGGUGAAAUACGUAGAUAUCUGGAAGAACACCAGUUGCGAAGGCGGUCUCUUGGUCCGAUACUGACGCUGAGGCGCGAAAGCGUGGGGAG